AUUCAGCUGACGAGUCCUAAAUAGGACGAAAUGAGCUUCCUGGAU
rfam:Schistosoma rodhaini strain Burundi genome assembly, scaffold: SROB_scaffold0000117